AGACUGCCCAGCAGUCAUCCCUAAGGAGUCUACACGACAGGAAACCACUUCCAUCAGGGUAAAGGCAGAAAUGGAAAAUGGAGAUUAUGCUUCUCAUGGCCAGAUAUGUGCAUAAUGGAGAAAGAACCAGAAAAUACAUUUAAAGGGAACUCUGACCAGAAGCUCCUUUUGCUUGGAGAAUACCAAUGCAUCUCUUCUGAAGCCAAGUUCAUACGUUCUUAUUCAAACAGAGGAAAUAGAGCAACUGUCAGCAUGAAGGAAUCUUAG
rnacentral:lncRNA from 1 species